rnacentral:misc_RNA from 1 species
GAUGAAGAACGUAGCGAAAUGCGAUAAGUAAUGUGAAUUGCAGAAUUCAGUGAAUCAUCGAAUCUUUGAACGCACAUUGCGCCCGCCAGUAUUCUGGCGGGCAUGCCUGUUCGAGCGUCAUUUCAACCCUCAGGCCCCCAGUGCCUGGUGUUGGGGAUCGGCCCAGCCUUCCUGUAAGGCCGCCGGCCCCGAAAUCUAGUGGCGGUCUCGCUGUAGUCCUCCUCUGCGUAGUAGCACAUCCUCGCAGUUAGAACGCGGCGGUGGCCAUGCCGUUAAACACCCCACUUCUGAAAGUUGACCUCGGAUCAGGUAGGAAUACCCGCUGAACUUAAGCAUAUCAAUAAGCGGAGGA